CGCCUGCGCUGUGGACGCUCCCGCCGGAAGUGGGCGGGAUAGCGUUCCAAUGCGGAAAGGGCAGUGAGAGCGCGGCGGAGGCGCUGGUGGCCGAGUGUGGGGUGGGGACUGUCCCCAAUGCGCCGCAGCAAGGUGGGCUGAUGGUGGAGGCUAAAGCAACUCUACCUUCCAGGCUUAUCCAUCAUUUGGACUUCUAAUUAACCUCAGUUCCCGGGAAGCCUCUAAGAUUUCUACAUUAUCUACUGUUAAGAGCAAGUAAUUACUGCAAAUCUGCCCUUGGGUCAAAACAACCUUGAUGGCAUAUUCCUUCUGAAGCACAUAUACUCUUUCCCUAGCUGCCUGCCCUGCAGACUUCAGUCUCCAGCAUCAGACACAGAGACCCAGCAUUAUGGAGACUGUCUAACCAGAUCUCACAAUUGUGGAAGAUCCCAACUCCUACAACAAAUCUCUUAAAAACCA